GACAAAUCCACCAUAGUUAGCUCCGUGCAGCUUCCAAGUUCAUCAGGGAUACUACCAACUAAGUUAUUCUGCCACAAUAGCAGACCCUGAAGCUUGCUCAGCUGACCGACUUGACUCGGGAUUGGACCGGAUAUAGAAUUUUGAUACAGCAUUCCUAAUGAUGAGGGAAGACUGCCAGAAAUGCUAGUUUCAGCGAGGCCUAACAUAACCAAGCUGGUGCAGUUCCCUAUCUCCCAGGGCAGCUCCCCUUUAAGAUUUUUAUUUCCACCUGCUCGAAAAACUUGUAGCUUUCUCAAGUCUCCAAUGCUCUUUGGAAUUUCACCGCUGAGUUGAUUGUCAUAGAGUGUCAGGUAAACAAGGCUGGAAAGAUUUCCUAUUCCCGACGGAACUUCACCUUCAAGGAAGUUUGAGUUGAGAGACAAUGUUUCCAAUUUGCUCAGUCUGCAAAUUUCCAGGGGGAUUUCACCUGUGAGAGAAUUGCCACUGAGGUCAACAUAACUUAUCUCAUACUGAUCACCGAGCUCCUUAGGAAUUGUUCCUGUGAGAUUGGUUGAUGAAAGCACAAGGGUCUUCAAGGAUUUUAGAGACUGCAAAUUAGAAGGCAAUGAGCCUUGCAACUCUAUUGCUUUCAACCUUAUCUCAACUACCUCGCCUUGUGAGUUGCAAUGAAUCCCAAACCAUCUGCAUGGAGUAGCAUCUAAUGAACUCCACGAUUUGAGUGCAUCUCCGCUGCUGUUUAAGCUGUUCUUCCAUGUUAAAAGAGCCUGCCCCUGCUCAUCAAUCGAGUAGCAACGAUAGAACAAAAGUGUGUUUAUUGAGAGAAGUAAGGUGAAGGAGAAGAUAUUGGAGGAAAGCAGGAGAUUCCUUGGUGUUGCAGGCAUUGCUUAGAGAAGAGAACAGGUGAUCUGUUUUGGGAUUGAAGAGGGUUGAACCCCAUGUUUUGUUUAUAGAACAAAUGCAGAAGAUCUGGAUCCAAGUGCACUUUCUUUUUCUAAUAUUAUAAUAGGUCUAGAUGUAGUUUUUAAACAAGAGAUGGUGAUGCAUUGCAGAUGGAUUUCUUAUUCUUUUAUUUCUUUCUUUCAGUCUUUAUGUUAAUUGAUUUUAUUUCUUUCUUUCAGUCUUUAUGUUAAUCUGUCAAUUAAAAGGAAAGGUUAUUCUGAUAUUCUUCC